CUGUGACGCACUUGGGCUGGCUCUUGCAUCUUACCACUGCUGUGAGAACAUGGCUGGACAGCCUUCUGAAGGAUGAGAGGCACACGGAGCAGAGCCAAGUUUCUCCCGUCACCCCAUCCAAAUUCAACUACAUCAGCCAAGGUCAGCCAACAUCAGCCAGCAAUGAUGGAACCCCCCAGACAUAAGCUCUUUCCUUAACCACACACGGGGUGGAAAGAACGCCUUGUCCAGAAGCCGAAGGACACUGAGGCUCUAAACUCCUGCUGUGUGGGCUGCAGCAGGCCACUGCUCUUCUCUGACCCUCAGUUUCUUCAUCUGUAAAACUGGAACAUGAUGCCCCACUGGAAGGCUAUCGUGAGGGCUGGACACGGCGAUGUAAAUUGAGGGCCAAGCGUGGAGCCGGCAUAGAGUGGACACUAAAAUACACCAGGCUGUUUCAUUUGGCAAAAGGGGUUCAAUUCUGUCUUUUAAACUCAUGCACUUUGGCAUAUUUGGCUUCUAAAUAUGCAGUGAGGCAGGAAGAGCAAUGAGUCUGGAAGCCAGAGAUUCUCGUGCAUCCAUUCUCUCCUCUGUCUCAGCUUUGCAUUGUACCUUGGGUGAGCCAUUGCACCUCCCUGACCCUCUGUGUCUUCAUCUACCAGACAGAAAAAAUUACACUUACUCCUAAACCAUAAUGUUUGGCAAGACCCAGUGAACCUCACAAAGCACCCCCAAAAGGCAGGCAGGAUGAGGAGUUCUCCCUGUUGAGCUGUGUGAGCUGCCCAGAUUGAUAUGCCUAGAAGGCACCCCAUUUGGAAGUAAACACAGGCUCCAUUUAAGGAUGCACGGAAGGUUGGAACACUUUAUUCCUGAACACAUUUAUGUAAAAUUAAUUGCAUCACCUGUUCUCUGCAUCUUCUAAUUGCAAAACCAAUUAACUUUAAAAUGCUCAGCACAGUGUGGCCAAGGGAAGGGAAGGCAAAGACCAGGCUGGCUUUGCAAACUCUGUGCCAUUUGUAGUGGCCACAGUGGCCCUAGGAAGUCCCAGCCAUUCCCAUCUGCUGGCCGAGGAGGCCCUGUGGGAUGCUGGGAGACUCUAGGAGAUGAGCAAGACCCUCAGAGUCUGGGGCUGGAAACUUCCUAGCACAAGUGAGCUGAGUGGUCAUGGGCCAGGUGAUGGAGUGGACAUUCCCCAGUGGUGGCCAGAAUGACCCAAUAUCAACUGCCCCUCCACCCAGCACCCCCAUUCCCUUUACCCUGUAUUUUGUUCCCCUCUGCCAUUUUCACUGCCCGACUGGCUGUGUAGCUAUUUGUUUAUCAUGUUUCUCCUCAGUAAAAUGUUGACUCCACAAAGACAUGUCUAUUGCACCUCCUGCUGUGUGCCUGGGACCUAGAACAGUGCCUGGCACAUAGUAGGUGCUCAGACAAAUGAAUGAAUGAAUGAAUGAAUGAAUGAAUGAAUGAAUGAAUGAACUAAUGGACUUCAGCUCAUUGUGAGAUGGGAUUUUCACAGAAUUGAAAUGGUCCCUGGUGGGAUGAACCGUCUUAAGGCAAAGGGUGUUCACUCCACCCCUGCAGCCAUUUGCGAGCCGUUAGGUUGAGGGAACACAGGCACUGGCUGAGGGGAUAUAUUUGUUCUUAAAACCUUUUACCAGGCCCCACGUAUGCACCCCUUUCUGUCUGCUCUGCCCAGAGAUUUUAGGCUCCUCUCUCUCAGGGGAAGGGAGUGAUUUGGUAUCAAUCAACCUUGAGCUCAGCUCAUGUUUCUUAACUAGCUGGUUAACAGCUUACUUCUUUGUGACUCAACUUUCUCAUUUCCUGAGACUUUCAGGGCUGCAAAGAAUGGGGAGAAAAUAUGCUUUGUAAAGGAAAAAUGCACACACACAGCGUUCAUUGACUUCCCCCCGGUUUCCAGCGUCUGUGAAUGCACACGGUACCAGCUAACAGCCACCAGAAGGGGUCUGGCUGCAACCGAGAUUGUGCUGGGAAAGAGGCCCGGGCAGCAGUCUCCAGUAGCCAAAGCACCGGCAUGGCCAUAUUAAAGCAUUCGGUUCCAAGCCCCUCCAGGAGGGAGGUGUGGGCAACAAGGGGCAGCAGUGAGUGGGCAGGUGCGGAGAAUCGUGUACUAAUCCCCCCUCCUCCUUCCAGGAAGCCUCACUCCUCUGCUCGGGCUGCUGUACCACAUUUCAGAGACUAUCUUGAUCUCUCAACACAAGCAGCCGAUGAGAUAUUCACACAUUCAGGGUGGGGAGGAUGAGAUCCAGGUGGCCUUAUGUGAUUCCUUUUCAGUGUGUGAAUGGGCACAUUGGCCUGGAUAGAGAGCCUGCCAGCCCCGCUGCUGGUUCUCUGCAAGGCCUAGAUUUGGCACAGGAGAUGCAGGUACUAUGAGUUCGGGGUAGGGGUGCUGGUGGGGUGUUUGGCAGAAAUCAGUGUUGAGGAAAAUUUCAAUGAUUCAUCAGCAAAUCAGGGACAGAACUGCAGCUUCCCCAUGUGAGGAGCCCUUGAGUGAUAGAUGGUUCCUGGGUACUCCUGCCCUGGAGUUUGCCUUUCUCUGAAGGUGAUGGAUUCAAAAGCAGCUCUAAUGAGCCUAUAGUGGGUUACAAGGCAGCCACUGGCUGGCUGCCUCCCCUCCUCCUGCCCGGCCUUCAC
rnacentral:lncRNA from 1 species